UACGGAGGGUGCAAGCGUUAUCCGGAUUCACUGGGUUUAAAGGGUGCGUAGGCGGGCAGGUAAGUCCGUGGUGAAAUCUCCAAGCUUAACUUGGAAACUGCCGUGGAUACUAUUUGUCUUGAAUAUAGUGGAGGUGAGCGGAAUAUGUCAUGUAGCGGUGAAAUGCUUAGAUAUGACAUAGAACACCGAUUGCGAAGGCAGCUUACUACAGGGAUAUUGACACUGAGGCACGAAAGCGUGGGGAUCAAACAGG
rnacentral:rRNA from 1 species